UCUCAUCUGUAUUUUCUCUCAUCUCCAUCCUCCAUUCUGGUUCAAGCCAUUCCAACGAUUCAACAUCAGGUAUGAACAAUCUUCCUAAUUCAGAAUCUUCUUUCAAUUCGCCAUUCCAACGAUUCAACAUCAGGUAUGAACAAUCUUCCUAAUUCAGAAUCUUCUUUCAAUUCGAAGGGGGUUCAUCAUAGGUAUGUUACACAAACUUAUGAUUCAGAUUGCAAUUAAUUUGCUCCGUCAUUCUUCGUCUUCUCAACUGUCUAAUAGGAAGGUCAAUUUCCGUGGAUUUUAUGGUUUUCAGAUUUGAGGUUUUCUUUCCGUAGAUUUUAGGGUUUUAAGAUUUGAGGUUUUCUUUGCAUUUUGAUUUAUUAGGGUAUUUUAUACAUCAGUUAAAUCGUUGAUACUUUAUCAUAUUAAGGAAUUGAUUUUAUGGUUUUUACACUAAAAUCAUCAACGACGACUGUCACCGUGCUAAUAUAUUCUGAUUAACAUCCGACCAAAGCAUGUGUGUAUUUUUUUCGGUACGUAUUCCUUUGAGCUGCUAUGAUUGAUUUGAUUUCUUUAGUAUGCUCUUAAUAUUUUAAUGUUUGACCUAAAUGAUGGAUGCAUUCCAAUUUCCAGGUGUGUGUAUCUAUAAUCUAGACGAUCUUGAUGAUCGUGGUAAUGAUUAGGGCUCAAAAUUUCCAGAUCUGAAGAUACGAAAGUAUCAACGAGUGGCUAAACAACAAAAAAAAAAUUUACGGGUGAUAACCUAGCUGAGUGGCAAGAGGCAGGAACUGAUGGUACUCUAUCCACAUGAAACUGGGAUACCGAGCUUCUUUUCAAAAUCACCACAUCUAUGAUUUGAUUUAAUAUGCAUGUCGGUGGGACAUUGAUGAGAACACUGCGGAUUAUGGCAACCAAGCACCUCAAUAAAGCUUCUUAACAGGAUGGAAGAAGAGUCAACAUAAGCUUAAGCAACCCACAAAUAUAUGAUGAAUAUGUAUAUGGGUAGUUUUAUCAUCUGAUGAACUAUAAUAGUCAUGUCCUCCAUUUAGCUUGUGGAAUUGCUUGAAGAGGCUUGGUUCUAAAGGAACAAUAGUAGGGUCUCAAGGAACAGGUGGUAAUGAAUCAAGUUUUUAGCUAUUUUUUUUAAUUGGCCCAUUUAAUAUGUUUGAGAUAAAACACAACCCGUUUGACUUUGUUUGUUAGUAAAUUUGUCACCUAUUAGCUCAUUGUUACUUAAUUUUACAACUAUUCAAAAAUUCAGUAUGCAUGUGUUUGUGUGUGUGUAAAUAGUUGCACACAUAAUCUCACUAAAUUCCUAUAUGUUAACAUUGGUUUAAAAAGGUGCACUUGAGGCAUGAGGUGAUCAGAAAAGCGUCCCAUGGCCUUGAUACAACUGAGUUAAAAAUGGUCAAACAUGUUGUGAUAAGUAAAAAACAACCAGAUGAGACAAAUGCAUCAUUUGGUUGUAUAUAAAUCUUAUUUUUUGGUUGUACAUAAAGCAAUGCCUUACAUAUGUGAAGCCCGCGCCUCGGCGUUUUGGACCUAAAAGCCACGAAGUACCUUGCGCCUUUUUAAACAAAGAUGACAACUUGGACAGGUUCCAAAACAAACGAGUUGCUGCCACAAUAGGCUAUUUGGGGGUGGUAAAGGAUAGACCAGUGCAGCUCAGUGGUUCGGCGCGUCUUUCGUACAUAUCACGUUUGAGAUCCAAAAAUGACAUGUCAUCAAGUGGAUUUAUAAAACUGAUGACACUUGAAGGAAGUAUUGGUUACAUGGCAUGCCAUAUAAUGUGCUAAUUGAGGUGGUAAAUUAAGAUUCCGACACUCUUGGGAUAGAACGGUGAUGUUAACUUUUCUUUAGCUGAACCACAACAGUUAUAUAAGCGAAUUAAAUAAUAAAUUUAUUUGAUGCUCAAAAACCAAAUUCAGACUACUAUAAAUUUGGUAAUGCCAUUAUCCAGUCAUUUUACCUUGAUUGUUUAUUCAGUCUUCACAAUUAUUUAUUAGCGAGACCGUUUAGUAACGACGAGUUGAUGAACAAUGUGGCCCAGGUGGAGUGAGGUUGCAGUUUGUUAGAGCAUUGCUGAGAAGUAAACUGAUAGGGUGUUUACUUUUGAUAAGGUUUGUUGGAUAAAUUUUUUCCAUGACUUGAAUGAAGAAGUGAUGGCGGCUGCUGCUCAUGGCCAUGGUCUACUAAUAGGCAUUCAACAACUUGAGUCACAAAUCCCUUCAAUUGAAAUUUGAAAGGGUAUUUCUAUCCGAAACACCCAUUCAGCCUUAAAUGAGUUGACCGAUGUCCUUUCUUAGUUAGUGGAGCUUUUCUUAAGGGUAUUCAUUUGCAUAAGACGGGUCCGCUUAUUAUAGAGUAUGUAUGAGUUGAUUCUGCUUGGACGUACAGUAAAAAGAAGAGAGAGCAUUUUUUAGCUUAUAUCAGUAGGGGUUUCAGAAUCUCGGCCUAUUGAAUUAUAGAUUAAAUGACCUACAUACUUGCAUAUGGCACACAAUUUGGAAAUUGGUUAGGGGCCAGACCCAUGCCACUUGACUGGGAAAGGAUGUUGGAGGUGCAUUCGGUCCGCCCCUAAGAGCUGGAGAGACUUCAUGGUGAUUUGAACUUUUGGUUGGGUUGCAUAUGAUUCUUUUAUGCAGCAUGAUGUUCAAGAACUCAAUAGGAUUCUUUGUGAGAAAUUUGAAGAUAAAAUAAAGGGAACUCUUUUAGAAGGCCCAAUUCAACAAUUAUUUGAAGGGUUGUACAUUACCAUGGAAUUGAGGCGAUUGGCUGAUGGAUAUAGUGAAGCAAAAAUUGAAAUUACGGACUGGCAUGAUGUAUAAAGGUAUGUGAAACUGAAAAAAUGUGCGAGCCAAUCCACAGACGGAGAAAUUGCUGUUGGUGCGAUUCCAAAGUGGCCAGAACGACUAAAACAAGCUCCAUCACGGACCGCAUUGAUUAAAACGGAAAUGACGUGUUUGAUGCCGCCACACGCCAUUGGGAAAGAAGGAUUUUUCAAUAUAAGAAUUCAUUAAACUUAAAACUGUGGACUCCAGCGGUAAGAAAUGUGAUGGAUAUGAAUGCGUUUUUUGGUCGUUUUGCUGCUGCUUUAGCAUCCGAUCCGUUGUGGGUGAUGAAUGUUUUUGCAGACCGCAAGUCUUCAACUUUGGGUGUCAUUUAUGAUAGGGCUUAUUGGUGUUUAUCAUGAUUGGUGUGAACCUUUCUCAAGUUAUCCUCGAACUUAUGAUUUCAUUCAUGUGGUUGCAACUGAAUCCCUCAUAAAGGAUCCAACACCCGACAAAAACAGGUGAUGGAAUAAUCUUACUUCCCUAUGACUGCUUUUAAUGCAAAUUGCUUUCAAAACGUACUACCUACUGAAGGACCUCUCAAGAAUGUUCAAGACAUCUUAGAAGAACAUGUUAUUGAUGUUGAUGCUGAUGAUAAUUCAGAUGAAGAAGAUGAUUUAGACAAUCGCUUGAUUAAUGAGGAGCGUGUCUACGACAUAACCAAUCUUGGAAUCGAGUGUAAUAAUCAAACUGUACACAGCAAAAACUAUACUCUCCAAUGUGAUUGUGCAUAUCAAAAUAUAUCGUGUUUGUGUGCUUCAAAGGUUGGUGACGGUGGCGAUGUUAAAGCGUUGGAGAAUUCAUGAUAGUUUUUUAGUAUUGGUACAUGUUAAUUGUUAUGAUAAAGAAUGGACACAACAUUAAUAAAGUUCUAAUAAUCUGUUAUAAUAAAUAGAAGUUUUUUUUGUGUC